GGUUCCAUAGUGUAAUGGUUAGCACGCUGGACUUUGAAUCCAGUGAUCCGAGUUCAAAUCUCGGUGGAACCU
rnacentral:tRNA from 1 species